rnacentral:rRNA from 1 species
CGUCUUAGCAUGCAGUCGAGCGGCAAGGUGCAGCAAUGUACCCUAGAGCGGCGGACUGGUGAGUAACGCGUGGGUGACCUGUGGUGGGGAUGGGGAUAGCCGUUAGAAAUAGCGGGUAAUACCGAAUACGCUCGUUGUGCUGUGGCGCGGCGAGGAAAGGGGCUUCGGCCCCACCCGACGGAGGGCCCGCGUUCCAUUAGCUAGUUGGGGGGGUAAAGGCCCACCAAGGCGAUGAUGGGUAGCCGGCCUGAGAGGGUGAACGGCCACACUGGGACUGAGAUACGGCCCAGACUCCUACGGGAGGCAGCAGCUAAGAAUAUUCCGCAAUGGACGAAAGUCUGACGGAGCGACGCCGCGUGGAUGACGAAGGCCGAAAGGUUGUAAAAUCCUCUUAUUGCCGAAGAAUAAGGUGGGGAGGGAAUGCCCUGCUGAUGACGUUAGGCGAUGAAUAAGCCCCGGCUAAUUACGUGCCAGCAGCCGCGGUAACACGUAAGGGGCGAGCGUUGUUCGGAAUUAUUGGGCGUAAAGGGCGCGUAGGCGGUUUUGCAAGCCUGGCGUGAAAUCCUCCGGCUUAACCGGGGAAUGGCGUUGGGAACUGUGAGACUGGAGUUUUGGAGGGGCAGCUGGAAUUCCUGGUGUAGGGGUGAAAUCUGUAGAUAUCAGGAAGAACACCGGUGGCGAAGGCGAGCUGCCAGCCGAAGACUGACGCUGAGGCGCGAAAGUGCGGGGAGCAAACAGGAUUAGAUACCCUGGUAGUCCGCACUAUAAACGAUGUGCACUAUGUGUUGGGCCGAGCGGUUCAGUGCCGAAGCGAACGUGAUAAGUGCACCGCCUGGGGAGUAUGCCCGCAAGGGUGAAACUCAAGGAAUUGACGGGGGCCCGCACAAGCGGUGGAGCAUGUGGUUUAUUCGAUGAUACGCGAGGAACCUUACCUGGGUUUGACAUGGCAGCGGAUGUACUAGAGAUAGUACAGCGUAGCAUACGCGCUGUCACAGUGCUGCAUGNUGUCGUCAGCU